rnacentral:rRNA from 1 species
CGUAGGUGAACCUGCGGAGGGAUCAUUACCGAGUUUACAACUCCCAAACCCCUGUGAACAUACCUUAAUGUUGCCUCGGCGGAUCAGCCCGCGCCCCGUAAAACGGGACGGCCCGCCAGAGGACCCAAACUCUAAUGUUUCUUAUUGUAACUUCUGAGUAAAACAAACAAAUAAAUCAAAACUUUCAACAACGGAUCUCUUGGUUCUGGCAUCGAUGAAGAACGCAGCAAAAUGCGAUAAGUAAUGUGAAUUGCAGAAUUCAGUGAAUCAUCGAAUCUUUGAACGCACAUUGCGCCCGCUGGUAUUCCGGCGGGCAUGCCUGUUCGAGCGUCAUUUCAACCCUCAAGCCCCCGGGUUUGGUGUUGGGGAUCGGCUCUGCCCUUCUGGGCGGUGCCGCCCCCGAAAUACAUUGGCGGUCUCGCUGCAGCCUCCAUUGCGUAGUAGCUAACACCUCGCAACUGGAACGCGGCGCGGCCAUGCCGUAAAACCCCAACUUCUGAAUGUUGACCUCGGAUCAGGUAGGAAUACCCGCUGAACUUAAGCAUAUCAAUAAGCGGAGGA